rnacentral:misc_RNA from 1 species
CCCAUUGACAAUGCCGUUGCAGAAAAACUCCCUAUAAGAAGCACCUUUCUUCCUAGUUUAUCCAUCAAAAGCAUUGCAACUAUUGAACCCAACAAGUUGCAAAUUCCAACACAUAUGUUUGCAAAAUCGGAAGGAACACCAGUGCUUUUAAAGACUGUUGAUGAGUAAUAGAAUAUGGCAUUUGUGCCAGAUAGCUGUUGUAAGGCAAAAAGUGCAGACCCAAUGAAAACCACUUUAAAAUGCCGACCAUAGAGCAACUCUGAUAAUUUUACCUUGUCAGCAUCAUCUCCUCGGUCUAAAUUUGACAAUUCAGCCAUUGCAGAUUUGACAUGCGAUGCUCCUAAAAGCUUCUCAAACUCAGUCUCAGCUUCAGCACCUCUUCCCCU